rnacentral:tRNA from 1 species
GGUUCAAGUCCCUCUAUCCCCAAAAGUUUUUUUCACUUUUUAA